rnacentral:tRNA from 1 species
GCAGGCGGGUGGUACUUCUCCUCUCAAGAGAAAGACGCGGGUUCGAAUCCCGCCGCCGGCC